rnacentral:rRNA from 1 species
UGACGGUCCUUACCCAGAAGCCCCGGCUAAUUACGUGCCAGCAGCCGCGGUAAUACGUAGGUGGCAAGCGUUGUCCGGAAUUAUUGGGCGUAAAGCGCGCGCAGGCGGUUUUUUAAGUCUGAUGUGAAAGCCCCCGGCUCAACCGGGGAGGGUCAUUGGAAACUGGGAAACUUGAGUGCAGAAGAGGAGAGUGGAAUUCCACGUGUAGCGGUGAAAUGCGUAGAGAUGUGGAGGAACACCAGUGGCGAAGGCGACUCUCUGGUCUGUAACUGACGCUGAGGCGCGAAAGCGUGGGGAGCGAACAGGAUUAGAUACCCUGGUAGUCCACGCCGUAAACGAUGAGUGCUAAGUGUUAGAGGGUUUCCGCCCUUUAGUGCUGCAGCUAACGCAUUAAGCACUCCGCCUGGGGAGUACGGUCGCAAGACUGAAACUCAAAGGAAUUGACGGGGGCCCGCACAAGCGGUGGAGCAUGUGGUUUAAUUCGAAGCAACGCGAAGAACCUUACCAGGUCUUGACAUCCUUUGCCACUUCUAGAGAUAGAAGGUUCCCCUUCGGGGGACAAAGUGACAGGUGGUGCAUGGUUGUCGUCAGCUCGUGUCGUGAGAUGUUGGGUUAAGUCCCGCAACGAGCGCAACCCUUGAUCUUAGUUGCCAGCAUUCAGUUGGGCACUCUAAGGUGACUGCCGGUGACAAACCGGAGGAAGGUGGGGAUGACGUCAAAUCAUCAUGCCCCUUAUGACCUGGGCUACACACGUGCUACAAUGGAUGGUACAAAGGGCUGCGAGACCGCGAGGUUUAGCCAAUCCCAUAAAACCAUUCUCAGUUCGGAUUGCAGGCUGCAACUCGCCUGCAUGAAGCUGGAAUCGCUAGUAAUCGCGGAUCAGCAUGCCGCGGUGAAUACGUUCCCGGGCCUUGUACACACCGCCCGUCACACCACGAGAGUUUGCAACACCCGAAGUCGGUGGGGUAACCGCAAGGAGCCAGCCGCCUAAGGUGGGGUAGAUGAUUGGGGUGAAGUCGUAACAAGGUAGCCG